rnacentral:lncRNA from 1 species
CAAUAAUCUUAGAUUUUCCCUUCAUCUCUGUUUCCAGCAGUGGCGGGGGAUCCAAGGCUACGAGGAUCAACUCGGAUAAGACACAGAUGCCCACCCUUGAUUUACCCAGGAAGAGCUGUGGGAAAGUCUGUAGAGAUAGAAGAAAGGAUCAGGCUAGACCUGGAGGUUCAACUUUCAAAACCUGGAAGUCUUCAACUGUUCCUAUGGUAACCAGUUAGAUCACUGGAUUGAGAGGUACAGCUUGUUCUGAAAAGGGAAAGUUUUAAAGCCAGGGAUUUCAUACCAGUUUAAAUACUGAAAUAGACUGCUAUCACAAACAGUAGGCAAGUACUCUCCUCUUUG